rnacentral:ncRNA from 1 species
UUUUUUUAAAGCCAAACUCGUCGUGAGGCGGGGUCGGAAAGCCACGGGUCUCUGGUUUGAUUAGAGAUGGCUGGGUUGCAUUG